rnacentral:rRNA from 1 species
AGUAAUGUCUGGGAAACUGCCUGAUGGAGGGGGAGUAACUACUGGAAACGGUAGCUAAUACCGCAUAACGUCGCAAGACCAAAGAGGGGGACCGUUCGGGCCGUCUUGCCAUCAGAUGUGCCCAGAUGGGAUUAGCUAGUAGGUGGGGUAACGGCUCACCUAGGCGACGAUCCCUAGCUGGUCUGAGAGGAUGACCAGCCACACUGGAACUGAGACACGGUCCAGACUCCUACGGGAGGCAGCAUG